UUUGAAGUCAUGAAUUGUGCAAAGUUUUUUUCUUCAUGGCUUUACUGAGGUACAAAUGAGGGACAGUAUUUGGCCUCGUAGGCCUCGCGCCCCUACCACCUUCUCCCAGGAGAGGCCACUGCCAGCCGUCGCAGGUCCUUUCCAACCGGUCCUUCGGGGGGACACAUCGAGGGGUCAGGGGGCCUUGCGCUUUGCCUCACUCCUUUCCAUCGGUAAAGACGGGGUACGGGGAAGCACCCCGUGGGGCGCCCGCUCCGCUCCGUCGGCCCCACCCGCCCCCUGGGCCUCUCGGCAGCCCUGGCCGGCGCCCUGCGGGCAGGAAGCUUGCGCAACCGCCCGAAAGAGGAAGCGCAGCGAAGGCUGAAGCAAACGUUUAGCUGGAGCGUUGCAAAAGACAGCAGCCUCUCGAGUCGCAGAGCUGCUCCCGGGCCCGGACCCCCGCUCCGAGACGCCGCCGAGGCCGCCGCGCGCGCAGAGAGCGGAGCGCGGGGAGAAGGCGCCCCGAGCGGGGCGGAGG
rnacentral:lncRNA from 1 species